CCUUAAGGGCGAAGCAAGGGCAGAGGAAAUGGCGCCUCCAUGUGACCGAGCGGGCCCCGCCGCCGCUGGUACCGGCUGUCGGAGCCCGGCCGUGCCCGGCGGCCGCUGCGGGACUGAACGGACAUCUUGGCCUGCUUCCCUCUACCUUCCACCGCCCCGGGCGGGGGUUUGCGGCAUUCUGCAACGCUGUUAGGGCUGCUGCAGCACGGCCCAAAUUGCUGUCCCUCUAGCCAUACAGAAAAGACACAUCUUGGUCUAGCUGGGCUGUCGUGGGAAUCCCACUUCCCGGGGUGCUCGGCUCUGAGCCCGAAGCCGGCCCCCGGCCUGCCCGGCGCCCGGUAACUCUGAGGGAGAGCUGGGCUCCCCAUGGCACUGCAGAGCACAGCAGAGAGCCAGGGUGUGCUUUUGGCGUUAGAGACGUUGAGAAAUGUGCAGCUGCUUGGUCACAGGAGAGUGGUCAGGGCAGCAGCCACCUGCAGCUGCCUCGGGAAUUUCCGACUUCACUGCACUUAGAGAAGCAACAGGGAGUUCUUGCUUGUGGUGCUAGCCACGGUUCAACACAGAGUUCACAAAGCACUCAGAGCAGCAGGAUUGCACAAGCUGAGUCCAUCUACAUCUGCUGCCAGAGGGAUCAAUACAAGGUUACGAGAUACCACAUGAGAUUACUUCCCCAGGAGCUUUGAGCUUUAAAGUCUAUUUAAUUAUGAAGUCAGUGGGUUGUAAGAUUUGGACUUCUUCAUGAGCUAAGCCUUAUUAGUGACUGGAACGUGAAGCCUGGGACACUUCCUCAGACACAUUGCAGUAGGAGGUAGUGCUCUCUCUUCUUUAUCUGGAAGAUGCAUACGUCUGGUCAACACCCUGCAUCCCAAAGAGUUCUUUUACACCUUCUUGCCUGAGUGUCCCAGAUAAUCCAGUAUGACCAAGCAUGAACCCAGGGUUUUACACAGAAGCAUUUGAGGCUUUGCAGUUUU